UGGGGAAUAUUGCGCAAUGGGGGGAACCCUGACGCAGCCAUGCCGCGUGAAUGAAGAAGGCCUUCGGGUUGUAAAGUUCUUUCGGUAUUGAGGAAGGUUGAUGUGUUAAUAGCACAUCAAAUUGACGUUAAAUACAGAAGAAGCACCGGCUAACUCCGUGCCAGCAGCCGCGGUAAUACGGAGGGUGCGAGCGUUAAUCGGAAUAACUGGGCGUAAAGGGCACGCAGGCGGUUAUUUAAGUGAGGUGUGAAAGCCCUGGGCUUAACCUAGGAAUUGCAUUUCAGACUGGGUAACUAGAGUACUUUAGGGAGGGGUAGAAUUCCACGUGUAGCGGUGAAAUGCGUAGAGAUGUGGAGGAAUACCGAAGGCGAAGGCAGCCCCUUGGGAAUGUACUGACGCUCAUGUGCGAAAGCGUGGGGAGCAAACAGGAUUAGAUACCCUGGUAGUCCACGCUGUAAACGCUGUCGAUUUGGGGGUUGGGGUUUAACUCUGGCGCCCGUAGCUAACGUGAUAAAUCGACCGCCUGGGGAGUACGGCCGCAAGGUU
rnacentral:rRNA from 1 species